CUGAGCUAAAUCCCCAACCCACACUCCUGGCUUUCUAAAGUCUAAGUCCCUCACCAGCUCUGAGGCCUGUGAUCCAAAUACUUGCAUAAUCCAGGGGAGACUCCAUCCUCACUGAGAGGACAGGUGUACCUGCGUUAGGAUGUAGGUGCUCCUGUGACAGAUGGGAGUUGAAGAAACCCCUCCUAGGUGGCUUUAUGAAAGCUAUGAGCAGAAAGGAGUCUGAGCAGAGGAAAGGCAGGACUGUCUUCCAUUGGGACAGGGGAUGCAGUACCAGCAUGGCAGCUUAGCAGUCGGAGGUGGCUCCAGCCUUCAUUUGGAAGACACUCUGCCUCCAUUAGGAUCCCUGCACUGAAGGUAAGAGGGGUGCCUGGAAGGCUCUCCCUCUGGUUCAGCAGGAUCUGGUCUAAAGUCUCCCUUUUAGCCCCAGUUUGGAUUCUACAAACCCCUAGGGCAGGACAGGUAAGUACCUGGCACUCCUCCCACGCCCUGGUAGAGUCAUGAACUCAGAUUUUAAAGAAUCGUUCAGUCCCUCACUCCCUGUCCCAUGUCUCAUUAUCCUUCCCAGAUACCAGCACUUAGUAUGGAGGAGCCCAAAGAAAAGACCCCUCCAGGAUGAAAGGCCAGGCCCUGGGAAGCCUGUAAGGUUAGGGGGAGGGCGUUGGGAGGAAAUAGAUCAGAUAAGUUUCUGCUGUGUGAUCUUAAGAAAUUGCUUGACUUCUCUGAACCGCAUGAGUCCAUGUCAGUGGCCUUCAGGGAACUCCAACUAAGCCUGCUCUGCAUACCUUCCUCCCCAAUCAUCUGUGGAUCUCAAACAACGCCUGCAAGAGUCCAGUUUCUUCCCCCACUCCCUUCCACAGCACCAAAGAGGUUUCCCUAGCCUGGAUUGACCCUUGUCCUUGGGCCCUGGCCCUUUAUGGUUCUUUUGAACGCCCUAUUGCCAAAAUGUACUGGCAGACAAAAACUUCUUUGGCCCUCACUUCUGACGUAGGCCCGGGAACCUUCUUGAAAGCCACAGCUACCUCCAGGCAACCUUGGGCAUACUCAGUGGUUUAUGCCAUCCGGCAUUCUAGCUGCUGGGGACAUCCUCUAGCAAAAGCCCCUUCUGUGCUGCCAACUGCUGCUAGAAGAUCUUAGAAUGAGUUUAUUCCCGCCUUUGGAUUCUGCGAUUCUGCGAGCCUUUCAUUCCCCUUUCUGCGUGAACCUGCGUCUGGAGGAAAGAGUUCCCAGUCAGGGCCUGGGCUCGUGCUCUUGCCAAGGAAGGAAAAUGGACGGACCCCCGGCUUCCGGUUUCCUUUGGCAGCGGUCUCCUCCCUCCCCCCUGCUCCAGCUCAGUUCUCUGCCCCCGGUUUUUGCAUUUUUAAUUCGGGACAGAAUGUGAUCUCUUGCAAGCUUCUUGCUUUAUCCUGUUGCUAUUUAAAUUACAAAUCGGCCCCAUCUCCCUGUCACUCUAGGGUUAUUUUUAGCUUCUGGUAAAUAGCAGCAGUGAGAGUAGGAUCAGGUGCCCCUCCCUCGAGGAGCUGUGUCCCCGCCGCGGCUGCGUGCCCGCCGCAGGGGGCACCCUCCCUGCCAACUGGCGCCACUAGCCGUCCUGGAAGGGUGGAGGGGAAAGGGGGCAGUGGGGGCUGGGAUAUGCUCAGUCCUGCUCUCAGUCUCUGGCUGGCUUUACUCUCCUCAGUUCCCACUAUCAUUGCUAAGAGCCAGCUUCCACUGUCCUUCCUGGACCUCCCUAACCCGUCCCACUCUAGGGAAAGAUCUAGCUGGCGGUGGACUACUUUCCCUGGAGUCAAGAACGGUGUGCCCCUUGUCUGUAAUAUCCUUCAAGCAGUACUAUCGAGUGGGUCCUAUUGUUCCCAUUUUCCAUAUGAGGAAACAGGGUUAGAGGUGAAAGUUUCACAGGCUCAGUCAGGGUCAGAGCUGGUUUCCAGGAACUCUCAGACCCUGAGACCCCAAGCCCAUGUGCACGUGUGUGGAAAACUGCUGUCUCUCUUGGAUUGCAGAAGCCACCCCGUACGUCUCUGCCCAGGUGGAUGGCCCCAUCAGUGUGCUUCCAGCAUGUUUGUGCUAACCCAUCUACCGGGUCACGGCUCCGGGGCCUCAUAUAACCCACUGCCUGAUUGUGUAGAGGUCCUGUGCGCAAAGAAUGGCUUCUCAUUUCUAGAAACAGGAAAUAGCAAAAGAAUGAUAUUCUGUGACAGUGAGAUGGCAUGAAGUGUAAAGUUCAGGGUCCUGAAGUGAAGCUUUAGAGGAAGCCAGGCAUCCUCAUUCCUCUACGCUGCCUAUAAUUGCUUUUUGUGACACUAGCAGGGCUGAAUGGCUUUGACAGGGAGCACAUGACUUACAAAGCCUAAAAUAUUUACUGUCUGGCCUUGUACAGGAUCCUACUUUUGUGGAGGAAAAAGAGUGAGCCCCAUAAGUCCAUGUCAGGCAGUGUCUGUCGGCAGGGCCAGAACUCCUGGGCCAUGAUAGAAUCUGUAUAGGGAGGGACACCUCUGCUAGCCACACCCAGCAAAGAAGAUCAUUUUACCCUCUUUAGUCCAGAAUCUUUCUCUUUGGUUUUUCCAUAGGUGAAACAAGUGGUUUUCAAAUUAGAUGAGCUACCAGAAUUAUGGGAGAGGUUUUCAGAUCCAGAUCUAGACUCUAACCUGGGUCAUCCUGGACUAGGAUGACCAAGGGUUUAAGAAACAACCAUUUUACUUUUUUUCCUUGACAUCUUACCCAGUGAUCGAACCUAGGGUCCCACCUAUGCUAUGCAAGCACUUUGUCACUGAGCUACAACUCCAGCCUUAAGGACACACUUUAGGAGGCUGGAGAGCGAUGGCUAGGCAAUUAAGAGCCUGUACUGGUCAUGAAUAAGACCCAAGUUCAGUUCCCAGGACGUGUAUGGUGGCUCACAACCACCUGUAACUCCAGUUUCAGGGCAUCUGACCUUCUCUUCUGGCCUGUUUAGGAUCCUGUACACACCUGGUGUGUGGGCUUUCUCUCUCACACACAAAUUUUUUUAAAGAAUCUUUUUAAAGUAUAUUUAAAAAGACCUACUCUGGUGAUCUAGUCUGGUACCUCCUGGGCAUAACACUGGCGGUGGCUCACAAACAACAAACCCAGCAUCCCUCAUACCCUCUGUCUCCUUAGCGGAAGUCAUCUUUGCAAAAAGUCUCUUGAACCCAACUGUAACUGGUUAGGACUCCUCCUGGCACUUGGGACACCUUCUCCCCAGUCCAGAUACAGAUGUGAAACUCGAGGGCUCUACAUACUGUCCUGCCCUUUUCGGUGGGAUUUAUUGGAAACCAGGUCCCUUUUAACAUAAACAAGGGCCUAUCCUUCUCAAAUCCUAACUUGUUUUGUUUUGUAGCCUCUGAUGGCCCUGGAAAGAGUCCUGAGGUACUUCUCAGCAGGCCCCUCCUCCCUAGAAGCUUCUACAGUCCUGCUGAAAGCCCCUGUGGUCCUCACUUGCGUCAGAAACAGCUUGGCCUCUGUCCUGCUUCCGCUUGCAUCCCCUCUCGCCCUCAUAUUUCAUUGCCCCCGCACUUCUGCCUGAAAGCCCUUUCUCUCUCUCCGUGAAGGGCUUUCAACUGCUUUUCUUAGCCACUCCUCACAGCAGGACUGGAGGUUUAGCUGUGAGCCAGAGCUUUAUGGAGGUAACAGGCAGAGAGGAUGGGAAAGAGCCACAGUGGGCCUGGGCUCCUGUCAGCCCUGGGACAGCCUGGAAGAGAGUACAGCAGCAGCAUAGGUCAGCAGGCCUCCCUCUCAGGAUCUGUCACUUGGCUGUUCCACUGCCGCCUCUUCCUCCUCCUCCACCACAGAAGGCUCAAAGGGCCCGGAACUGCAUCCUCUCUUCCAGACCCAGGGACUCUCCUUGCCUUAAUGCCUUGCCCAGUCCUGGUGAUAAGAGUAGAUGCCUGGCUGGAAUCAGCACGGCCUCAUCCUGUCCAGUCCUGCCCUGGUGCAAUCCUCAGAAGAAGAGAUCCUACUUGGUUACUAUGCAUCUUUGAUGGUCAGGGACGUCCAUUUUGGCCUGUGGAAAAGCUUCUACAUGGGGGAAUUUCAGUCCUUACUGCUGCCUCUUCACACCCUAUGUGUGUUCAUGUACUCAUAGCAUCGUAUCUGUCAAUCCUUUAGUGAUGCUCUGUUUCUUAUUCUCCCAGCCUCUCCCUGAUCCUGGCCUCCUUUCCAGCAGCAGCAGCCGCUACAUUUCCCUAACUUGCAUGUAGGAAAAAAUCUUGGUAUGGUGCUCCUUGUAGGAGUCCUGACAGCUAAGGAACAUAGUAUGUGGCUUUUGUCCAGGUCUCCUGACUCUCAAUCAAUAAUGUUUCUUCCAGGAUUCUGAAUGUUCUGCUCUUCCCCCAGGGGCACUUUCAGGAGCUCAUCUGUCUCAGCUAGAGGCCCUGGGCAGAUGAUGCUUUCUUCUGAGGAGAGCUCAGGAAGGUCUUGGUAAUGGAUCAUGCUCAAGAUUCCCAGAGUGCAGGUCUGGGAUCCUGGGACGGGUUCCAAGUCAAGAAGAGGAUUCUUGUGUCACUGUUACUAUGACAAUGGCCCUUCCCAGGAGGUGAUGAGCAAGUCCACCUUUGACGCUGCUGUCACCCCACCUGCAUUUCCCUGAACGUUUCUCGUGACCAGCUGACGUCAGGAGACUCCGGGACUGUGCGUAACACAGCUGAUUCAUCUCCCCUGGCAGCGGGCAUCUUGACCUGCCCCUGAGGCUUUGCUUUGUCUUCUGUAGGUCAAGGCGUUGGUUUUAUUUUUUAAUAAAUAAAGUGGAACCUGACUCAUGA
rnacentral:sRNA from 1 species